rnacentral:lncRNA from 1 species
AGUAGAGUCNNNNNNNNNNAAAACAUUAUGGUGGCUUCAGUUUUAGAAAACUAACUGCACAGAAGGCAACUAAGGUUUGUGUGUCUUUCUACCCUGAAACCAAGUGUAGUUUUAUUGUCUUAUGGUAAAUUAUGCUUUUUUGUAAAUUGUUUUAUGUUGACUACAUGGGAUCUCCCAAGUCAUUAAUUGGUGGAGUCUGCCCCACCUGAUAAAUGACUCCUGCUUCAAUCUGUAGACCACAAGUGACCUGUUUGUCUCAGUGUGUAAGCAGCCUAUUGACUGGAUUGUGACCCAGAUAUGCAAGGCAUAAGCAGAAGUACUCAUGCCUCAGAAGGUCUGUGUCAUCUGCAAUGACAUGUAGGGAUAGGAAUUGUAUCUCCUAAUGUUUCAGCUUCAUCCACUUCCUCCUCUUCAUGCUUCAAAUCCUCUGCUGCAUUUGCAUGCAAAAAAAGGGCCAGGUACAUUGUACUACAAAAUUCUUUAUUAGUUGAAUAUAGUAUAAAAAUUCCCCAAAUAUGUUAUUCAAAGUAAAUUCAAAGAUGAAUGACACUAGUUUUAUUCCAUUUCAGAACUUAAACAUAAACUGGGUCAAAACUUUAACCAUGCAAACUGAAGCUACCAACUGUUGUGCUGUCCUAGCCAUUACUUAUCUUAUUGUUUUUUGAGACAUGAUACAUUACAGAAAACAAUUAAAUGACCAUGGAUGAAAUCAGUAAUCACUACUACACUUUCAUCAAAGCAGGAGCUGCAAGUUUGAAUCUUAUGUUUUGUUCAUUUUUCCCCCUGUUAAAAAAAAAAGAAAAGAAGAGUUUCAUCACCAGCAAAAUAAUAAAUGCAAUAUAUUUGUCAUGCCUCCAAUAUGCCUCAAGCUUUCCUCAGCCAUUUCCAAUUAAAGUUGGUCAGCUAAAUCACUGUAAGCCAGGUUUCAAUUUUAGAGUGUCCACACUAGGAUUUAAACUAUAAAAGGCAUGUUAAAGUUGAGCUAAAUCAGCAAAACUUGUAAUGUAGAUGACAACCAGAGCCAAGAAUGAAAGUCAAGCUAUUAAGUUUAUAGCUUAUUUUAUGCCAAUAAAUUGAAUUGAGUAGUCA